GUCUCAGGCCGUAUCAGCCUGAAGGCGACCGAUCUCGUCUGAUUUCGGAAGCUAAGCAGGGUCGGGCCUGGUUAGUAUCUUGGAUGGGAGACCACCUGGGAAUCCCGGGUGCUCGAGGCU
ensembl:rRNA 5S_rRNA 5S ribosomal RNA